rnacentral:rRNA from 1 species
AUUGAACGCUGGCGGCAGGCCUAACACAUGCAAGUCGAACGAGUGGCGGACGGGUGAGUAAUGUCUGGGAAACUGCCUGCUGGAGGGGGAUAACUACUGGAAACGGUAGCUAAUACCGCAUACCAUCGGAUGUGCCCAGAUGGGAUUAGCUAGUCGGUGGGGUAAAGGCUCACCUAGGCGACGAUCCCUAGCUGGUCUGGGAGGCUGACCAGCCACACGGGAACUGAGACACGGUCCAGACUCGUACGGGAGGCAGCAGUGGGGAAUAUGUCGCAAUGGGCGCAAGCCUGAUACAACAACUCCGUGUGUAGGAAGAAGGCCUUCGGGUUGUAAAGUACUUUCAGCAGGGAGGCGUUACCCGCAGAGGAAGCACCGGAUAACUCCUUGCCAGCAGCCGCGGUAAUAC